rnacentral:rRNA from 1 species
UACAGAGGUCUCAAGCGUUGUUCGGAUUCAUUGGGCGUAAAGGGUGCGUAGGUGGUUAGGUAAGUCCGAUGUGAAAUCUCCAGGCUCAACCUGGAAAUGGCAUUGGAUACUAUUUAGCUUGAGGAGUGGAGGGGGGACUGGAAUUCUCGGUGUAGCAGUGAAAUGCGUAGAUAUCGAGAGGAACACCAGUGGCGAAGGCGAGUCCCUGGACACUUCCUGACACUGAGGCACGAAAGCUAGGGGAGCAAACAGG